rnacentral:rRNA from 1 species
AUUGAACGCUGGCGGCAUGCCUAACACAUGCAAGUCGAACGGCAGCACCACAGAGCUUGCUCUGUGGGUGGCGAGUGGCGGACGGGUGAGUAAUGCAUCGGGACCUACCCAGACGUGGGGAUAACGUAGGGAAACUUACGCUAAUACCGCAUACGUCCUACGGGAGAAAGCGGGGGAUCGCAAGACCUCGCGCGGUUGGAUGGACCGAUGUGCGAUUAGCUAGUUGGUAAGGUAACGGCUUACCAAGGCGACGAUCGCUAGCUGGUCUGAGAGGAUGAUCAGCCACACUGGGACUGAGACACGGCCCAGACUCCUACGGGAGGCAGCAGUGGGGAAUAUUGGACAAUGGGCGCAAGCCUGAUCCAGCAAUGCCGCGUGUGUGAAGAAGGCCCUCGGGUUGUAAAGCACUUUUAUCAGGAGCGAAAUCUGCAAGGUUAAUACCUUUGCAGUCUGACGGUACCUGAGGAAUAAGCACCGGCUAACUCCGUGCCAGCAGCCGCCGUAA